AUUGAACGCUGGCGGCAUGCCUUACACAUGCAAGUCGAACGGCAGCACGGGAGCAAUCCUGGUGGCGAGUGGCGAACGGGUGAGUAAUAUAUCGGAACGUGCCCAGUCGUGGGGAUAACGUAGCGAAAGCUACGCUAAUACCGCAUACGAUCUAUGGAUGAAAGCGGGGGAUCGCAAGACCUCGCGCGAUUGGAGCGGCCGAUAUCAGAUUAGGUAGUUGGUGAGGUAAAGGCUCACCAAGCCGACGAUCUGUAGCUGGUCUGAGAGGACGACCAGCCACACUGGGACUGAGACACGGCCCAGACUCCUACGGGAGGCAGCAGUGGGGAAUUUUGGAC
rnacentral:rRNA from 1 species